GAGUUUGAUCAUGGCUCAGAUUGAACGCUGGCGGCAUGCCUUACACAUGCAAGUCGAACGGCAGCAUGAUCUAGCUUGCUAGAUUGAUGGCGAGUGGCGAACGGGUGAGUAAUACGAUCGGAACGUGCCCUGUAGUGGGGGAUAACUAGUCGAAAGAUUAGCUAAUACCGCAUACGACCUGAGGGUGAAAGUGGGGGACCGCAAGGCCUCAUGCUAUAGGAGCGGCCGAUGUCUGAUUAGCUAGUUGGUGGGGUAAAGGCCCACCAAGGCGACGAUCAGUAGCUGGUCUGAGAGGACGAUCAGCCACACUGGGACUGAGACACGGCCCAGACUCCUACGGGAGGCAGCAGUGGGGAAUUUUGGACAAUGGGCG
rnacentral:rRNA from 1 species